rnacentral:rRNA from 1 species
UACAGAGGGGGCAAGCGUUGUUCGGAAUUACUGGGCGUAAAGCGUGCGCAGGCGGUCUUUUAAGUCAGAUGUGAAAUCCCCGGGCUUAACCUGGGAACUGCAUUUGUGACUGCAUAGCUAAAGUACGGUAGAGGGGGAUGGAAUUCCGCGUGUAGCAGUGAAAUGCGUAGAUAUGCGGAGGAACACCGAUGGCGAAGGCAAUCCCCUGGACCUGUACUGACGCUCAUGCACGAAAGCGUGGGGAGCGAACAGG